UCUUCAGGCUUCAUAGGGACCGAAAUUUUCUGAUUUGAACAGCCAUCAAAGCACGCACGAGGACCUCCAAGAGGACCCUACUGUGGAAGUUUGAACUCUUCCUCCAAUUUACUUGCUUGCAUAACUUGGUUUGAACUCGGAGGUAAAAUGGAGAAGCCCUCUUGAUGUACUUUUGUUUAGGGCUUGUUAUUACUUUUGGUUAUGCCUUUGGUUUUGGAAUUGUACUUUUGG